rnacentral:rRNA from 1 species
UGGAUAACCUGCCCUCGGCACCGGGAUAGCCCCGGGGGAAACUCGGAUUAAUACCGGAUAGCCUUUCCGACUUUCGGGUCGGUUCGAAAGGUAGCUUCGGCCUCUGGCCGAGGAUGGGUCCGCGGCGGAUUAGCUUGUUGGUGGGGUAACGGCCUACCAAGGCUUCGAUCCGUAGCUGGUCUGAGAGGACGAUCAGCCACACUGGGACUGAGACACGGCCCAGACUCCUACGGGAGGCAG